GCAUCUUGGUUGUUGCAUGUCUAUUGAAGUUGUAGCAGCAGUGCUUUGAAUACAAUUUGUGUCACAUCAGGGUUUGGUUUUCCGGAAAGGUCUCCGGCAAUACAAGGAUUUUGAAACCCACAAGGGAAUCCAUUUCCUUCUAGAAAUAUUCUGCAUUUGAAAUGCUUCCUGUUACCAUCUGAUCUACUACACCAUGUUGCUGUGGAGUUAAGAGCAGCUUUCAGAAGGAAAGAUGGAUUGUGACCCUCUCCAGGGGUGUGUUGGGCGAGAUUACCCUCAUUAUCGCCCAUCUAUGUGCCUUCCAGACCUCCACCGCCCACCCGAGCCCACUAAUGGAGGCCGAACAGCAACCUCAAACAGCCUCAGCUUGAGGUCUUACUAAACUCAACCAAAACUAAUCGGUUGUAUCAUCCCUGGCUCUCCAUCAUAUUGGUGAAUUUAGAGAUUGAGACCUAGUUUUAUGGUCUACAUCUUUCUGCCUCGGUGUUAGAAAGUACAUUUUCAGUUUUAUUAUGUUGUUGAGUGAAUAACAUGGCAAAUCUUUCAAAGAUAUGAUGAUUGGAUUGAUAUGUUCACAUUUUCCAGCUUUAUUCCAGGUUUUCCAUAUAGUUUUUUUUUUGGGGGGGACAAUAGACAAACACAUUGUACAUCAGAUUUCCUUUGCCCUACAAACACAUAGAGAAUAAGUGUAAUUUUAUUCAUGGUACCUCGUCUUUCUCUUGUAUUGAAAUGUGUAUUUGCCGGCUAUCCACUCUGAGGCGCAAGCAAAUAUGCACUUGUCAGCUCCAAAGUGCAUUUUUUGGUUUCCUCAUCUAUAUGAUACCCAGACGAUAGUGUAAGCUUCUCAUUGUUGAAUGUGUGUUUUUCCAAAUCUCUCCCCAGACUAAUAACCUGAUGCUGUAUUUCCAGUUUUAUGAGUCCUGGUAGGAGUGAACAGCGGAUUUAGUACCGUAAAGAAUGUGUAAUGUUUGAUUUGUAGGUGUAAUGAGCAAGAAGUGGGGCUCUGCGAGCAAAAACACCCUCUGCGUGCUUUUGAUUGAUUAGUGAGGGUCGUAACCAGCCAAAUGUGUUCACGCCUGCCCUAAUGCUGUGGAUUGUGGACCGGGAUAUUAGCCUGUAUGCAUUACAGUGACAUAUUCACCUCAGCCAGAUCAAUAAAUCUUACUGUGUGAGGAAAGAA